AAACCAACAGGGAUUGCCUUAGUAACGGCGAGUGAAGCGGCAAAAGCUCAAAUUUGAAAUCUGGCGCCUUCGGUGUCCGAGUUGUAAUUUGAAGAAGGUAACUUUGGAGUUGGCUCUUGUCUAUGUUCCUUGGAACAGGACGUCACAGAGGGUGAGAAUCCCGUGCGAUGAGAUGCCCAAUUCUAUGUAAAGUGCUUUCGAAGAGUCGAGUUGUUUGGGAAUGCAGCUCUAAGUGGGUGGUAAAUUCCAUCUAAAGCUAAAUAUUGGCGAGAGACCGAUAGCGAACAAGUACAGUGAUGGAAAGAUGAAAAGAACUUUGAAAAGAGAGUGAAAAAGUACGUGAAAUUGUUGAAAGGGAAGGGCUUGAGAUCAGACUUGGUAUUUUGCGAUCCUUUCCUUCUUGGUUGGGUUCUCCGCAGCUUACUGGGCCAGCAUCGGUUUGGAUGGUAGGAUAAUGAUUAAGGAAUGUGGCUCUACUUCGGUGGAGUGUUAUAGCCUUGGUUGAUACUGCCUGUCUAGACCGAGGACUGCGUCUUUGACUAGGAUGCUGGCAUAAUGAUCUUAAGCC
rnacentral:rRNA from 1 species